rnacentral:rRNA from 1 species
ACUAAAAACCUAACCCAAAGUCAAUUAAUACUAAUUCAAAUUUUCUUUUUAUAAAUUAAAACAUUCUACAGUUACAGUAAAGGCGAUUGAAAUAUCUUUUGGAGUUAUACUACUAGUACCGCAAGGGAACGAUGAAAUAAAAGUGAAAUAAUUAUCAAGUCUAAAGUAGUAGAGAUUCAACCUCGUACCUUUUGCAUCAUGAUUUAACUAGUCCCAUCAAGCAAAAUGUAUUAAAGUUUGCCACCCCGAAACUAAGUGAGCUACUUCAGGGCAGCUUUAAGAGCCAACCCGUCUCUGUUGCAAAAGAGUGGGAAGACCCUCAAGUAGAGGUGAUAGACCUAACGAACUUAGUGAUAGCUGGUUACUUAAGAAAAGGAUUUUAGUCCCACCCAACUUUUAUUUAAUAUAUCAAAAUGUAAACAAAUCUUUGGAGUAAUUCAAAUAAGGUACAGCCUAUUUGAAUCAGGAUACAACCUCUACAACUGGGUAACUUAACACACAUGUAAUAAAGUGGGCCCAAAAGCAGCCAUCUUUAAAAAAGCGUCAAAGCUUAUUUAUACACUUACUAAAUUCCAAUAAUUAUCAAAAACCCUUAACUUGUAUUAAGUAACUCUAUAAAACUAUAGAAUAUAUUAUGUUAAAACUAGUAACAAGAACAAGACCUUCUCUAUAAUACAAGUGUAAAUCAGAUAGGACAAACCACUGAUUUUUAACAUCUUAUGACUAAAGUAAUAACUAAGCAAGAAAAUCUUACCACAUACAAUGUUAAUCUAACACAAGAGCAUUUCCAGACAGAUUAAAAGGAAAAGAAGGAACUCGGCAAAUAUUAACCUCGCCUGUUUACCAAAAACAUCGCCUCCUGAUAACCAUAUAGGAGGUCCAGCCUGCCCAGUGACUCUGUUUAACGGCCGCGGUAUCCUAACCGUGCGAAGGUAGCGUAAUCACUUGUUCUUUAAAUAAGGACUAGUAUGAACGGCACCACGAGGGUUAUACUGUCUCCUUUUCUUAAUCAGUGAAACUAAUCUUCCCGUGAAGAAGCGGGAAUAAAAAUAUAAGACGAGAAGACCCUAUGGAGCUUUAAACUUAAAACAAUUAUCUUUUUUAUAUAAACCUCAAAGGUAACCAAAUUAACUUAAAUAAUAUGUCUAUUAGUUUUCGGUUGGGGUGACCGCGGAGUAAAAUAUAUCCUCCGCAUUGAAUUUAGUAUCUUCCUAAGCAAAAAACUACAAUUUUAUGCAUCAAAAAAUUGACAUUAUUGACCCAAUACUUUGAUCAACGAACUAAGUUACCCUAGGGAUAACAGCGCAAUCCAUCUUAAGAGCUCAUAUCGACAGAUGGGUUUACGACCUCGAUGUUGGAUCAGGAUAUCCCAGUGGUGCAGCCGCUACUAAAGGUUCGUUUGUUCAACGAUUAAAAUCCU